ensembl:snoRNA Snord87 small nucleolar RNA SNORD87
GCUGGCACUAUGAUGAUUUGUCUGCCGUUUACCCAACUGAGGGUUUCUUUGAAGAGGUAAUCUUAAGACUGAGAUGCCAGC